GCGCUCACUUCAACAGCACAUAUACUAAAAAUUGGAACAAUACAGAGAAGAUUACCAUGGCCCCUGCAUGAGGAUGACAUGCAAAUUCGUGAAGCAUUCCAUAACAAA
rnacentral:snRNA from 1 species